rnacentral:piRNA from 1 species
AAUAUUCUGCUGGGAGAAAGUAGA